GAUGAAGAACGUAGCGAAAUGCGAUACGUAGUGUGAAUUGCAGAAUUCAGUGAAUCAUCGAAUCUUUGAACGCACAUUGCACCUCUCGGUAUUCCGGGAGGUAUGCCUGUUCGAGCGUCAUUUGUACCCUCAAGCUCUGCUUGGUGUUGGGUGUUUGUUCCGCCUCUGUGUGUGAACUCGCCUCAAAACAAUUGGCAGCCGGCGUACUUGUUUCGGAGCGCAGCACAUUUUGCGAUCCAGAUCAACGUACAGCGGCAUCCAAGAAGCCUUAUUUAACGCUCUUGACCUCGGAUCAGGUAGGGAUACCCGCUGAACCUAAGCAUAUCAAUAAGCGGAGGA
rnacentral:misc_RNA from 1 species